rnacentral:lncRNA from 1 species
GUAAGCUAAAUAAUUACAAAAAUACUUUGCAAAUGCAAACUGCAACGGACACACGCAGUGACAGCCGAGAACAAUAUAUACAUCGUAAAUCCUGUUUACAACAGGCUUGGGAAAGGGUGAAUGUUUGGUUUCUAAAUUGUUGAAAGCUUGUAUAACCUUCUGGGACACCUCUAGGAUGGACUCUAAAUUGUCUUCUCUCUGCAACUAUUUUUUACAUUAAAACCCAAAAUAACAACAACAAAAAAUUACAAGUCUUGAUGUUGUGGCUCAGACACCAAAUUCCCUAUAAAAUUAAAAGUAAAGGAUGAGAUGAGAGAAAUUUUGGCUUAGAGAAACACUGGUUGAGAAAGGAAAGAAAAUAUUGCUCACUUUUCCCUUAUUUCUUCUAUGUAAAUAAAUUUCCCUAUACAAUUUAUAUGGUCUUACUUUAAGUGUAUGGGAUCUUUAGAAAUCAUAGAACGCUAAGAAUAUUCGUAUGUGUAAAUGGGUACUCACUUCACAUAGCAGGUACUCAAUAAAUAUUAGCUACAAAAGAUAAAAGCAAACUAUAAGGCAUCUUUGUAGACCAUUUGGCCAACCAUCCUGCUGUUCAGAGCCGAGGAGCUGAGGCCUAGGUGGUUGGAAGACUUACACAGCUCCUACACGGGCCUGCUGAAAGUCUGGGCUGCAACUCGUUUCUUCUUACAGGUUCAGAGACUCCUCUGGCUCAUCACUGUCACAGAACCGCACUGGGCCUCAGUUCAUCACUGGAUAUCAAGAGCACCUCUACCUGCCCAGGGAUUAUCCAUCAAAGGUCAACAUUUCAACAUUAUGGAAAAAGAGAUUUUGGAGUGAGACAUACUUGAAUGAAAAUUCCAAUUCUACUUCUUAUUAGCCAUGUGAUCUUAGGCAAGUUAUUUUCCUGAUCUGAGUUAGUUUUCUUAUAUGUAAAACAGAAAUAGUAAUACCUUGUUUUGAAAACUGUUACAAUAUUAAAAGAGAUGGUAUAUAUCAAGGCAUUUUAAAAUAGUGUUAUCCAAUAAAUAUCCUUUCUGGCAUCAUGUUCCGAAAAAUGAUUAUUGUUGUCAUCCACAAAUAUCUGUUAAUUCUGUAC